UACGGAGGGAGCUAGCGUUGUUCGGAAUUACUGGGCGUAAAGCGCACGUAGGCGGCUUUGUAAGUUAGAGGUGAAAGCCCGGAGCUCAACUCCGGAAUUGCCUUUAAGACUGCAUCGCUUGAAUCCGGGAGGGGUGAGUGGAAUUCCGAGUGUAGAGGUGAAAUUCGUAGAUAUUCGGAAGAACACCAGUGGCGAAGGCGGCUCACUGGACCGGUAUUGACGCUGAGGCGCGAAAGCCAGGGGAGCAAACGGG
rnacentral:rRNA from 1 species